rnacentral:rRNA from 1 species
UACGAAGGGGGCUAGCGUUGCUCGGAAUCACUGGGCGUAAAGCGCACGUAGGCGGACUCUUAAGUCGGUGGUGAAAUCCUGGAGCUCAACUCCAGAACUGCCUCCGAUACUGGGAGUCUUGAGUCCGGGAGAGGUGAGUGGAACUGCGAGUGUAGAGGUGAAAUUCGUAGAUAUUCGCAAGAACACCAGUGGCGAAGGCGGCUCACUGGCCCGGUACUGACGCUGAGGCACGAAAGCGUGGGGAGCAAACAGG